AUACUUUAAUUGGACGGGGUUGAUGGAUGAUCAUGAAGGCCCAUAACCUAGGUCGUUGACUUCCAUUGCACUUGGGAGUGGUCAUCGCCUAAGGUCGACCCUAGUGGUCGAGCCUAUGUUAAU
rnacentral:sRNA from 1 species